AGAGUUUGAUCAUGGCUCAGAUUGAACGCUGGCGGCAGGCCUAACACAUGCAAGUCGAGCGGCAGCACGGGUACUUGUACCUGGUGGCGAGCGGCGGACGGGUGAGUAAUGCCUAGGAAUCUGCCUGGUAGUGGGGGAUAACGCUCGGAAACGGACGCUAAUACCGCAUACGUCCUACGGGAGAAAGCAGGGGACCUUCGGGCCUUGCGCUAUCAGAUGAGCCUAGGUCGGAUUAGCUAGUUGGUGAGGUAAUGGCUCACCAAGGCGACGAUCCGUAACUGGUCUGAGAGGAUGAUCAGUCACACUGGAACUGAGACACGGUCCAGACUCCUACGGGAGGCAGCAGUGGGGAAUAUUGGACAAUGGGCGAAAGCCUGAUCCAGCCAUGCCGCGUGUGUGAAGAAGGUCUUCGGAUUGUAAAGCACUUUAAGUUGGGAGGAAGGGCAGUUACCUAAUACGUAUCUGUUUUGACGUUACCGACAGAAUAAGCACCGGCUAACUCUGUGCCAGCAGCCGCGGUAAUACAGAGGGUGCAAGCGUUAAUCGGAAUUACUGGGCGUAAAGCGUGCGUAGACGGUUAUUUAAGUCGGAUGUGAAAGCCCCGGGCUCAACCUGGGAAUUGCAUUCGAGACUGAAUAGCUAGGGUGCGGUAGAGGGAAGCGGAAUUUCCGGUGUAGCGGUGAAAUGCGUAGAUAUCGGAAGGAACAUCAGUGGCGAAAGCGGCUUCCUGGACCAGCACCGACGUUCAGGCACGAAAGCGUGGGGAGCAAACAGGAUUAGAUACCCUGGUAGUCCACGCCCUAAACGAUGUCAACU
rnacentral:rRNA from 1 species